CGCACAUAAGACAUGCAAGUCGAACGGAAUUUAGUCGAAUGUUUACAUGAGACGAAAAUUUAGUGGCGGACGGGUGAGUAACACGUGAGCAACCUGCCUUUAAGAGGGGGAUAACAUUGAGAAAUCAGUGCUAAUACCGCAUAAAGCUAUUUUGCCGCAUGACAGAAUAGCCAAAGGAGAAAUCCGCUUAAAGAUGGGCUCGCGGCUGAUUAGUUAGUUGGUGGGGUAAUGGCCUACCAAGACGAUGAUCAGUAGCCGAGCUGAGAGGCACAACGGCCACAUUGGGACUGAGACACGGCCCAGACUCCUACGGGAGGCAGCAGUCGGGAAUAUUGCACAAUGGAGGAAACUCUGAUGCAGUGACGCCGCGUAUAGGAAGAAGGUCUUUGGAUUGUAAACUAUUGUCGACAGGGAAGAAAAAAAUGACAGUACCUGUGGAGGAAGCUCCGGCUAACUCCGUGCCAGCAGCCGCGGUAAUACGGGGGAUGCAAGCGUUAUCCGGAUUUAUUGGGUUUAAAGGGUGCGUAGGCGGUCUGGUAAGUCAGCGGUGAAAUUUAGGGGCUCAACCUCCACCGUGCCGUUGAUACUGUCAGGCUAGAAUGCGGAUGCCGUGGGAGGAAUGUGUGGUGUAGCGGUGAAAUGCAUAGAUAUCACACAGAACACCGAUUGCGAAGGCAUCUCACGAAUCCGCAAUUGACGCUGAUGCACGAAAGCGUGGGGAUCAAACAGGAUUAGAUACCCUGGUAGUCCACGCUGUAAACGAUGAUGACUAACCGUCGGCGAUACACAGUCGGUGGCCAAGCGAAAGCGAUAAGUCAUCCACCUGGGGAGUGCGACCGCAAGGUUGAAACUCAAAGGAAUUGACGGGGGCCCGCACAAGCGGAGGAACAUGUGGUUUAAUUCGAUGAUACGCGAGGAACCUUACCCGGGCUCGAACGGCAGGGGAAUCACUCAGAGAUGGGUGAGUCUUCGGACUCCUGUCGAGGUGCUGCAUGGUUGUCGUCAGCUCGUGCUGUGAAGUGUCGGCUUAAGUGCCAUAACGAGCGCAACCCUUGCCAUUAGUUGCCAUCAGGUUAUGCUGGGGACUCUAGUGGGACUGCCACCGCAAGGUGUGAGGAAGGGGGGGAUGACGUCAAAUCAGCACGGCCCUUACGUCCGGGGCGACACACGUGUUACAAUGGUGGGUACAGAGGGAAGCUACCUGGCGACAGGAUGCAGAUCUCGAAAACCCAUCCCAGUUCGGAUUGGAGUCUGCAACCCGACUCCAUGAAGUUGGAUUCGCUAGUAAUCGCGCAUCAGCCAUGGCGCGGUGAAUACGUUCCCGGGCCUU
rnacentral:rRNA from 1 species